rnacentral:rRNA from 1 species
GUGUUGAUGAAGAGCGCAGCCAUCUGUGUGAAUUAAUGUGAAUCGCAGACUGCUUUGAACAUCGACCUCUUGAACGCACAUUGCGGCCGUAGGCUUGCCUACGGCCACGUCUGGCCGAGGGUCGGCU